UUUCAGAAGCUGACUCCCUGCCU
rnacentral:piRNA from 1 species